AGAGUUUGAUCCUGGCUCAGGACGAACACUGGCGGCGUGCUUAACACAUGCAAGUCGAACGGGUGAUCCCAGCAAUGGGUGAUCUAGCGGCGGACGGGUGAGUAACGCGUAGGUAAUCUGCCCCUUGGUGGAGGAUACCCGGCCGAAAGGCCGGCUAAUACUGCAUAAGCUGGGUCGGUGCAAUUCCGAUUCAGGAAAGGUUUACUGCCGAGGGAUGAGCCUGCGUCCGAUUAGCUAGUUGGUGGGGCAAUGGCCCACCAAGGCGACGAUCGGUAGCUGGUCUGAGAGGACGAUCAGCCACACUGGAACUGAGACACGGUCCAGACUCCUACGGGAGGCAGCAGUGGGGAAUUUUCCGCAAUGGGCGAAAGCCUGACGGAGCAACGCCGCGUGGGUGAUGAAGAUUUUCGGAUCGUAAAGCCCUUUCAGCUGGGAAGAAUCAAAUGACGGUACCAGCAGAAGAAGCAUCGGCUAACUACGUGCCAGCAGCCGCGGUAAUACGUAGGAUGCGAGCGUUGUCCGGAAUUAUUGGGCGUAAAGAGUACGUAGGCGGUUCUAUAAGUCGGGAGUUAAAGACUGCAGCUCAACUGCAGGAGUGCUUUCGAUACUGUGGGACUGGAGGGUGGCAGAGGAAGUCGGAAUCCCCAGUGUAGCGGUGAAAUGCGUAGAUAUUGGGAGGAACACCAGUGGCGAAAGCGGACUUCUGGGCCAUUCCUGACGCUGAGGUACGAAAGCCAGGGGAGCAAACGGGAUUAGAUACCCCGGUAGUCC
rnacentral:rRNA from 1 species